CUUUGAGAUUUUACUGCAUAGUUUACAAUGCUUAGGUGUGCUACGGCAGUAUAACGCUUCAUAUGUCACUCAGCUAUGUCGUCUGAGUACAGCAAUACCCCCGUAUGUACCUUUCCCAGGUAUAUGUGGAUGUUGAAGGGGCAAAUUUGAGACUCGGUUUGUUUCAAGCUUUGAAUUUCAUGCUGGGUCCAUGUCCCAUUUUGGGUCAAACUCUGAG